rnacentral:rRNA from 1 species
GUAGGGCGGGACACGUGGUAUCCUGUCUGAAUAUGGGGGGACCAUCCUCCAAGGCUAAAUACUCCUGACUGACCGAUAGUGAACCAGUACCGUGAGGGAAAGGCGAAAAGAACCCCGGCGAGGGGAGUGAAACAGAACCUGAAACCGUGUACGUACAAGCAGUGGGAGCACCUUCGUGGUGUGACUGCGUACCUUUUGUAUAAUGGGUCAGCGACUUAUAUUCUGUAGCAAGGUUAACCGUAUAGGGGAGCCGAAGGGAAACCGAGUCUUAACUGGGCGUUAAGUUGCAGGGUAUAGACCCGAAACCCGGUGAUCUAGCCAUGGGCAGGUUGAAGGUUGGGUAACACUAACUGGAGGACCGAACCGACUAAUGUUGAAAAAUUAGCGGAUGACUUGUGGCUGGGGGUGAAAGGCCAAUCAAACCGGGAGAUAGCUGGUUCUCCCCGAAAGCUAUUUAGGUAGCGCCUCGUGAACUCAUCUUCGGGGGUAGAGCACUGUUUCGGCUAGGGGGCCAUCCCGGCUUACCAACCCGAUGCAAACUACGAAUACCGAAGAAUGUUAUCACGGGAGACACACGGCGGGUGCUAACGUCCGUCGUGAAGAGGGAAACAACCCAGACCGCCAGCUAAGGUCCCAAAGUCAUGGUUAAGUGGGAAACGAUGUGGGAAGGCACAGA